GCGCCCGUGGCUCAAUUGGAUAGAGCAUCUGGCUACGGACCAGAAGGUUAGGGGUUCGAGUCCCUUCGGGCGUA
rnacentral:tRNA from 1 species